rnacentral:lncRNA from 1 species
GGGUCAGGAGCAUGUGACUCAUCCUCUCUGUCUUCUCCCUUCUGUGUAUGCAGCUGCAGAGGGAGCUGACUUGUGAUUGGCUGUCUUCCAAUCUAGAGUUCAGAUUGCAGACCCAUGAAUUCUGGAACAGGAAGAACAGGAAGCUCAGUCACAACCUCUGUGCUGUGAAUGUCAGGGCUGCUGUUCCUCCCGAGGCCUCCAGGGACUGCUAAGGAGACAGACUCUCAGAGAACCGUCUUCUGUGUGCACCCUGCUGGAGUCUGCCUGCAGUGUUCCAGCAAGCAGGGGAUGCUGACCCUCUCCCGACCACCCUUGCACUGUUUGUCACCUGCACCCCGAAGCAGGGUUCUUCAGUUUCUGCCAGCAUGUCCCUGGAGGGAAAAUGGUAUGAAAUCUUUAUCUCCAGCACCAUCUGUCUCUAAGCCUCAGACUCAUAUUAACCACUGAAAGAGAAUUCCAACUGGAUUUACCUCUUGAAGGUCAAACUCAACAUAUCAUCCACCGAGCUAAU